CACUGGUGAAAAUCCAUUUUUCACUGCAUUUGGCCCUGUUAGACCUGCUGAGCCAACACCCCUGAAUGAGAGUGAGGAGACACCUCUGUACCAUUUUGCACAUCAUCAGCUGAAUCGGUUCCUUUGGUAAAUUCCCACAACGGGGCACCUGGAGGUAUUACAGAGGCAUAAAUUGAAGUUUGUGGGGUUGCGCUGGUGUUGCACUGAAGACCUGAGUCAGCCAGCAGAACACUUAUUGAUGCUGUUGGGUCUCAGGGGCCUGAGUUAGGGACAGAGAUAUGUAGAAAGUGAUUUUCCUCUUUGCCAACGGAACAUGUCUGCUCUGGAGUCACGAAAUAAUAUUGCAAUACCCCAUGACACCAUUUUGUGCAGUCAUUUUUCAUAAUACUUUUUUCUACUUUUUGCAGAGCACAGUUUCUUUUUAAAAAUAAAAAUAUCUCAGUUAUUUGUUCCACUUUUUAGUUUUUAUUAUGUUGGGAAGCUUACUUUUAAAGGUUUACAUCAUAAUUCAUAUAAGACAUUUUAGCUAGAUAAGUAAAUUGAUGGUGAUAACCAUCAAUAACACAUAACAGAAUUAGGAAUGAUGAAUGUUAGUAGCAAGAUUCCUACAUGAUUUCGCUUAUGUACCUAAUAUUUAUGCCAGAUUGAAUCUUCCUUAGAAUAAGUAAUUACACUACAUUUAUAAGGUAAGCAACAUUUUAAAUAGUCUAUUGUUUAAAUUGGUAGCUGUAGGCUGGGCUGAAAGGCAACUCAGUUCAACUAAUUGCUGCUAUGACUCAGACCUUGUAACAGAUAUGCAAUUAGGUUUGGUAUUCUUUCAAAGCCUUUUCCAGCUCUGAUUUUCUUUAUGAGAGAGUGUAAAGAAGGGGAAAGAAUGCUUUUCGUCCAAGGAGUACCAUCCAGAACAUAGGGAGCAUAAGAGAAGGAAAAAUGUACAGAUAAUACUGCUGGUUUAAGUGAGAAGUUUACACAUGCAUUGAAAUGCCUGUAUUAAAGAAUUUAGGACUACUUGGCUUUAAGAUGUAGAGUUAUCUGUAUUUCUUAAAGCUGAUCCAACCUGUAGCUUACUAUCUUAACUCUCAGCUGCUCUUUUUCACUAUAUUUCUCUCAGAAUUGUUUUAAACGUUAACAUUUUAUUUAAAAACCAAAAAAUAAAAAA
rnacentral:lncRNA from 1 species